GGCCGCGGGAAUUCGAUUUCUGGUUGAUCCUGCCAGACCCGACUGCUAUCAGAGUGGGACUAAGCCAUGCGAGUCAACAUAGCAAUGCGUGGCGAACGGCUCAGUAACACGUAGUCAACAUGCCCAGGGGACGUGGAUAACCUCGGGAAACUGAGAUUAAACCGCGAUAGGUCAAGAUUUCUGGAAUGGAUCCUGGCUUAAAUCUACAUGGCCCCUGGAUUGGACUGCGGCCGAUCAGGCUGUUGGUGAGGUAAUGGCCCACCAAACCUAUAACCGGUACGGGCUCUGAGAGGAGAAGCCCGGAGAUGGGCACUGAGACAAGGGCCCAGGCCCUAUGGGGCGCAGCAGGCGCGAAAACUCUGCAAUGGGCGAAAGCCUGACAGGGUUACUCUGAGUGAUUUCCGCUAAGGAGAUCUUUUGGCAGCUCUAAAAAUGGUGCAGAAUAAGGGGUGGGCAAGUCUGGUGUCAGCCGCCGCGGUAAUACCAGCACCCCGAGUGGUCGGGACGAUUAUUGGGCCUAAAGCAUCCGUAGCCGGUUGUGCAAGUCCUCCGUUAAAUCCAGCCGCUCAACGGAUGGGCUGCGGAGGAUACUACAGAACUAGGAGGCGGGAGAGGCAAGCGGUACUUAGUGGGUAGGGGUAAAAUCCUUUGAUCCAUUGAAGACCACCAGUGGCGAAGGCGGCUUGCCAGAACGAGCUCGACGGUGAGGGAUGAAAGCUGGGGGAGCAAACCGGAUUAGAUACCCGGGUAGUCCCAGCUGUAAACGAUGCAGACUCGGUGAUGGGCUAGCCUCGUGUCAGCCCAGUGCCGCAGGGAAGCCGUUAAGUCUGCCGCCUGGGGAGUACGGUCGCAAGACUGAAACUUAAAGGAAUUGGCGGGGGAGCACCACAAGGGGUGAAGCCUGCGGUUCAAUUGGACUCAACGCCGGAAAUCACUAGUGAAUUC
rnacentral:rRNA from 1 species